rnacentral:rRNA from 1 species
CGGCGAGUGAAGCGGCAACAGCUCAAAUUUGAAAUCUGGCUCUUUCAGAGUCCGAGUUGUAAUUUGCAGAGGGCGCUUUGGCUUUGGCAGCGGUCCAAGUUCCUUGGAACAGGACGUCACAGAGGGUGAGAAUCCCGUACGUGGUCGCUAGCUAUUGCCGUGUAAAGCCCCUUCGACGAGUCGAGUUGUUUGGGAAUGCAGCUCUAAAUGGGAGGUAAAUUUCUUCUAAAGCUAAAUAUUGGCCAGAGACCGAUAGCGCACAAGUAGAGUGAUCGAAAGAUGAAAAGCACUUUGGAAAGAGAGUCAAACAGCACGUGAAAUUGUUGAAAGGGAAGCGCUUGCAGCCAGACUUGCUUGCAGUUGCUCAUCCGGGCUUUUGCCCGGUGCACUCUUCUGCAGGCAGGCCAGCAUCAGUUUGGGCGGUGGGAUAAAGGUCUCUGUCACGUACCUCUCUUCGGGGAGGCCUUAUAGGGGAGGCGACAUACCACCAGCCUAGACUGAGGUCCGCGCAUCUGCUAGGAUGCUGGCGUAAUGGCUGUA